UACUGCAGUCGAGCGGACAGAAGGGAGCUUGCUCCCGGAUGUUAGCGGCGGACGGGUGAGUAACACGUGGGUAACCUGCCUGUAAGACUGGGAUAACUCCGGGAAACCGGAGCUAAUACCGGAUAGUUCCUUGAACCGCAUGGUUCAAGGAUGAAAGACGGUUUCGGCUGUCACUUACAGAUGGACCCGCGGCGCAUUAGCUAGUUGGUGGGGUAAUGGCUCACCAAGGCGACGAUGCGUAGCCGACCUGAGAGGGUGAUCGGCCACACUGGGACUGAGACACGGCCCAGACUCCUACGGGAGGCAGCAGUAGGGAAUCUUCCGCAAUGGACGAAAGUCUGACGGAGCAACGCCGCGUGAGUGAUGAAGGUUUUCGGAUCGUAAAGCUCUGUUGUUAGGGAAGAACAAGUGCGAGAGUAACUGCUCGCACCUUGACGGUACCUAACCAGAAAGCCACGGCUAACUACGUGCCAGCAGCCGCGGUAAUACGUAGGUGGCAAGCGUUGUCCGGAAUUAUUGGGCGUAAAGGGCUCGCAGGCGGUUUCUUAAGUCUGAUGUGAAAGCCCCCGGCUCAACCGGGGAGGGUCAUUGGAAACUGGGAAACUUGAGUGCAGAAGAGGAGAGUGGAAUUCCACGUGUAGCGGUGAAAUGCGUAGAGAUGUGGAGGAACACCAGUGGCGAAGGCGACUCUCUGGUCUGUAACUGACGCUGAGGAGCGAAAGCGUGGGGAGCGAACAGGAUUAGAUACCCUGGUAGUCCACGCCGUAAACGAUGAGUGCUAAGUGUUAGGGGGUUUCCGCCCCUUAGUGCUGCAGCUAACGCAUUAAGCACUCCGCCUGGGGAGUACGGUCGCAAGACUGAAACUCAAAGGAAUUGACGGGGGCCCGCACAAGCGGUGGAACAUGUGGCAUGUGGUUUAAUUCGAAGCAACGCGAAGAACCUUACCAGGUCUUGACAUCCUCUGACAACCCUAGAGAUAGGGCUUUCCCUUCGGGGACAGAGUGACAGGUGGUGCAUGGUUGUCGUCAGCUCGUGUCGUGAGAUGUUGGGUUAAGUCCCGCAACGAGCGCAACCCUUGAUCUUAGUUGCCAGCAUUUAGUUGGGCACUCUAAGGUGACUGCCGGUGACAAACCGGAGGAAGGUGGGGAUGACGUCAAAUCAUCAUGCCCCUUAUGACCUGGGCUACACACGUGCUACAAUGGACAGAACAAAGGGCUGCGAGACCGCAAGGUUUAGCCAAUCCCAUAAAUCUGUUCUCAGUUCGGAUCGCAGUCUGCAACUCGACUGCGUGAAGCGGAAUCGCUAGUAAUCGCGGAUCAGCAUGCCGCGGUGAAUACGUUCCCGGGCCUUGUACACACCGCCCGUCACACCACGAGAGUUUGCAACACCCGAAGUCGGUGAGGUAACCUUUAUGGAGCCAGCCGCCGAAG
rnacentral:rRNA from 1 species